rnacentral:rRNA from 1 species
UACGAAGGGGGCGAGCGUUGUUCGGAAUUACUGGGCGUAAAGGGCGCGUAGGCGGCGACCCAAGUCAGAUGUGAAAGUCCUGGGCUUAACCUGGGGACUGCAUUUGAUACUGGGUUGCUUGAAUUCGGGAGAGGAUAGCGGAAUUCCCAGUGUAGAGGUGAAAUUCGUAGAUAUUGGGAAGAACACCGGUGGCGAAGGCGGCUAAUCUGGACCGACAUUGACGCUGAGGCGCGAAAGCGUGGGGAGCAAACAGGGAUUAAGAAACCCC